UACGGAGGGGGCUAGCGUUGUCCGGAAUUACUGGGCGUAAAGCGCACGUAGGCGGCUUUGUAAGUUAGAGGUGAAAGCCCGGGGCUCAACUCCGGAAUUGCCUUUAAGACUGCAUCGCUAGAAUUGUGGAGAGGUAAGUGGAAUUCCGAGUGUAGAGGUGAAAUUCGUAGAUAUUCGGAAGAACACCAGUGGCGAAGGCGACUUACUGGACACAUAUUGACGCUGAGGUGCGAAAGCGUGGGUAGCAAACAGG
rnacentral:rRNA from 1 species